UAAUUAUUAUCUUAAACUCACCGGGGGUAACCAGAGUCAUCGUACAUUUUCUCAAAUAUAAAUCGAGUUGAAAUGAAGAGAAAAAAAAAAGUUAGAACUUCGAAGCUGAGUUACUGGAAAUGGGGGUGGUCCUGGUGAACGCCGAUGAUCUCCUUGGCGAUGAUAUUCUCGGCGACGUCGCCGAUUCUGAAGUGGAGGACCAAGCGCCGACUCCUGUUGCCGACUUCUUCAACUCCUUCGAGGAUUACUUCGAUGAUGAGGACAUCUCCUGAUGUGAUGGAUGUCAGUGGGUGCAUCAACACUUGAUAAUGUUGAUGAGUGGAAGUGGAAAUUAAGUAUGCUCCUUCGUAAUCAGCAUGAACAGGAGGUGGUAUCAAGGGAGAAGAAGGACAUACGUGAUUAUGAGCAACUUGCAGCAUUAGCUGAGAGAAUGGGCUUACACAGCUAUGCUUGUCUUUGCAAAUUUCAAUAUGGAUUCUGUACCAUUUUUAAAUGCUUUUGAAAUGAGAUUGGUUUUGUUGGCAGCCGCCAAUAUGCAAAAGUAGUCGUCUUUAGUAAGGUGCCACUGCCAAACUACAGAUCUGAUCUGGAUGAUAAGAGACCUCAGAGGGAGGUCUCUAUUCCUAUUGGUUUGCAAAGAGAAGUGGAUGCUUU